rnacentral:rRNA from 1 species
AGAGUUUGAUCAUGGCUCAGGACGAACGCUGGCGGCGUGGAUUAGGCAUGCAAGUCGAACGGUAUAAACCUUUCGGGGUUUAGAGAGUGGCGAACGGGUGAGUAACACGUAGGUAAUCUACCCUCAAAACGGGGACAACCCAGGGAAACUUGGGCUAAUACCGGAUGCGUGCAAGCAAUGUUUUGGCUGUUAAUGCUAUUCACGGAAGUGAGUAGUGUUAAUGGUUGAGAGCAUUAUUUGCAUAAAAGGUGGCGUAUGCUGCCGUUUGAGGAUGAGCCUGCGUCCUAUUAGUUAGUUGGUGAGGUAAUGGCUUACCAAGGCGAUGAUAGGUAGGCGGCCUUAACGGGUGGUCGCCCACACUGGGAUUGAGAGACGGCCCAGACUCCUACGGGAGGCAGCAGUCGAGAAUAGUCUACAAUGGACGGAAGUCUGAUAGUGCGACGCCGCGUGAACGAAGAAUCCCUUCGGGGUGUAAAGUUCUUUUAUACGUGAGCAGUGCCCUUUAUAUGAAUAGUAUAGAGGGAGGGAUUUAAGCGUAUGAAUAAGCAACGGCUAACUCCGUGCCAGCAGCCGCGGUAACACGGGGGUUGCAAGCGUUGUCCGGAAUUACUAGGCGUAAAGUGCAGGUAGGCGGAUAGAUAAGUUUAAGGUUAAAGGCUACGGCUUACCCGUAGUAAGGCGUUAGAUACUGUUUAUCUGGAAUGCGGUUGAGGGAGACAGAAUUCCUGGUGUAGCGGUGGAAUGCGCAGAGAUCAGGAGGAAUACCGAAGGCGAAAGGCAGUCUUCUAAGCCGAUAUUGACGCUAAACUGCGAAGGUGUGGGGAUCAAACAGGAUUAGAUACCCUGGUAGUCCACACAGUAAACGAUAAUCACUAGGUGUUGGGUUCGUAUAGGACUCGGUGCCGGAGCUAACGCGAUAAGUGAUUCGCCUGGGGAGUACGAUCGCAAGGUUGAAACUCAAAUGAUUGACGG